CCAGACGGUCGGACGGUCGCUGUUAUGCGCUUUUGUGCAUGAUGGAGGAAAGUCCGGGCUCCACGGGAAGAACGGUGCCGGUUAACGGCCGGCGAGGGCGACCUCAGGGAAAGUGCCACAGAAAACAGACCGCCUUCCGGGUUCCUGCCAUGGGAAACCAUGGGACGGGCUGAAGGUAAGGGUGAAACGGUGCGGUAAGAGCGCACCGCUCCGCUGGUAACAGGGGAGGCACGGCAAACCCCACCGGGAGCAAGACCGAAUAGGAACGGCAGAAACUUUCGGGUUUCGGGGGUUCUCCCGCCCCGUCGUUCGGGUUGGUCGCGUGAGGCAUGUUGCAAGACAUGUCCCAGAGGAAUGAUCGUCCAGGCCCUUUUGGGCUAGACAGAACCCGGCUUACAGACCGUCUGGCAUU
rnacentral:RNase_P_RNA from 1 species